ensembl:lncRNA
AUGGGUGGAACAAGAGAUGUAGGGCAGAAGAUGAAGAAAGGAGAGAUUCCUAUAGAAAAGACCAACAGAACUCCCCCUUUCCAACUUCUUUCCCUUACUUGCCCCUCAGAGAGGCCCCGUAUCCUCGGCCUUAAUCUCAGCCCCACCGUUGCGGAGGAGGGGUCCGUCAGGGAGCUGCAAUGCAAGGUGUCAGGGAUCCCCCAGCCCAACAUUACCUGGGAGCAUCAGGGCUUGGUGCUGGGAGGUAACGGUCGGGUAUCAGUGCAGGAUGGAACUCUGACCAUCCGGGACCUGGAGCCUUCGGAUGCUGAGGUUUACACUUGCGAGGCGUCCAUAGCCGAGCGCAUGGAGAGCGCGCGGGAGAACGAGAAGCUGAGAGUGACUUGUAAGCGCAGGGCGGGGCGGGGCGGGGCGGGGCGGGGCGGGGUGGGGGAGGGAGAGAGAGAGACAUCUCUGUGUCUUUGUCUGUUUUCCUCUACCUUUCGGGGGCCAGUUCAUCCUCUCACACCCUCCUUUCCUUUCCACCUCACAGUCCGUCCCCGGCUGGAGGGACCCAAGGGGAACGCAGGGGUCUUCUAACCACACUGACCGUAUUGGUGCACGGGGAGCCGUCCCCGGAGCUCGGCCUCUCUUGGAGGGGCAGCCUUCUGCAGGAAGUUCGUCAGGGGGCUCCACACAUACGCACCUUCCAGGUGAGUGUACUGGACACCCUGGUCUUGGGCGGGGGGGGGGUGAGGGGGAGGGGCGCAAGGCGGAAGAGCCCAGUUUCUCGUUCUCUAAAGGCAUCUGCGUCCCCAAGGCGGUGGGAUCUGGGGACCAGGUCCAAGGGCUCAGACACGGGAGCUCCCUUCCCAUUUCCGUCCUGCUGUUUCAGUUCAUCCCUAAGGAGAAGGCAGAUUUCACCCCAAUGAAACUCCUCGCCUCCAAUCCCUUUGGUACCUCGGAGCUGGAGAUCCAGGUGCUGGAAGAAGGUGAGCCCGAGGCUGGAGAUCCGGACCCCUAAGUCUCCUUCCCUUCCUCUCUUGACUUCUCUGAAUCCUUAAGGCAGUGGGGAUGGGGAGCUGGGAACCUGAGUUUCUGAUGGGGUUGAUUUGGAGCUGGGGGUCCGAAUUCCUCAAUCCUUGUUGCCUUUUGACAUCAGUACCAGGACCUUCAAGGACUGAAUUUUGGUGUGACUGGUAGCCUAGAAGCCUGGGUGUCUGGAAGGUGCUGGAGCUGAAGGCCCAGAUGAAGGCCCGAAGGGUUGGGGCAGAACUCGAAAUUAUUGAGGGUGUGGGGAUCCAGGAUAUCAGUGUCCUUAAAGGGAUGAGGACCGGAGGUCUAGGGCUAAUGAUUUCUCCUUUUCCCCGAAGAUCCACCGGUGCAUUUUUCCCCCUUUUUCUCUCUAUCCUCUCCCCACAGUCACCCUCUAGAGUGCUGGGUCCUGGGGCCAUUUCAGGCCUUGCCUUGGCCUUUCUACUCGUUCUGGCCGUAGGAGUAGACGCCCUGUGCUGUCCGGACUUCCCGUUGCUUUAAGAGAGAGCAGUAGAAAAGCCGGUGAGCCAAGGAGAGGGGCUGGAAAGGGGUGGGGGAGGAGGGUGGGAGGGAGACUGCCUCUACUCUCAGCCAGAGGACCCAGGACUGACCCCUGUCUUUUCUCCCUUCAGCAUGUUGCAAAGAUUCUUCCCAAGAAAAGCAUUUCCCCUAAUGUCUCAGGGCUCCAGGCCUGAAUACCGCGGUCUGGCAAUUGGGAAAUUUGGGGAAGAGGUGGAAGGGGGAUGGUUCCAACUCAGAAUAAAGUUGAUUUUAUGGCUUUUCCUGGUCUUU